rnacentral:rRNA from 1 species
UUGGAGGGCAAGUCUGGUGCCAGCAGCCGCGGUAAUUCCAGCUCCAAUAGCGUAUAUUAAAGUUGUUGCAGUUAAAAAGCUCGUAGUUGAAUUUCGGGGUUAGUAAGUUGGUCAUGCCUUUGGUAUGCACUGGCUUUACUGAUUCCUCCUUCUUGACGAACCGUGAUGUCAUUAAUUUGGUGUUGCGGGAAAUCAGGACUGUUACUUUGAAAAAAUUAGAGUGUUUAAAGCAGGCUAACGCUUGAAUACAUUAGCAUGGAAUAAUGAAAUAGGACGUUAAUCCUAUUUUGUUGGUUUCUAGGAUCGACGUAAUGAUUAAUAGGGAUAGCUGGGGGCAUUAGUAUUCAAUUGUCAGAGGUGAAAUUCUUGGAUUUAUUGAAGACUAACUACUGCGAAAGCAUUUGCCAAGGAUGUUUUCAUUAAUCAAGAACGAAAGUUAGGGGAUCGAAGACGAUCAGAUACCGUCGUAGUCUUAACCAUAAACUAUGCCGACUAGGGAUCGGAUGAUGUUAAUUCUUUAAUGACUCAUUCGGCGCCUUACGGGAAAC